CCAUCAUUUAUGCAGCCCGGAGAAGUACCUCUGCUUUACCUGGACACACAAAGGAAUGAAGCAACCAUUUACCUUGAUGAAUUUUGGUCUGUUAAGGGUAACGUGAUGCAGUGAGUCACUCAGCAGUCUGGAGUCAGGGACUAGGUCUGGACUCAGCAUCCUUGGUUCCACAACACAGUCCAGUCCAUCAAGCAAACCAGCCUCUCAUCCACUGACUUCAUCUAUACUUCCUGCUCCUUUGAGAAAGCAACCAACGUAAUCAAUGACCCCUCCCACCCUGGUUAUACUAUCUUCCACAUUUUCCAGCAGGCAGAAGGGAUGAAAAUGCUCGAAGGACAAUUAACUGGGACUGAACUCCGAUAGAAAUGCUGGUGAUGGGUUCACAUUUGCUGGUACUGCCAUGGGAUUUCGUUUUGAGGUUAUCAACAUGAGAAUUUAACAAUCAAUUAGUGAACUUUUACACUCGUGUGAACUCCCCAUGGAGCAUGACAUUUCUGGAUUUAAU